UCAGCAAGCGACAAGCGACAACAACAAUAACACGACCGCAGUCGACGACGUCGCGAGCUUUUGACGUUAGCGGCAGCGCUUUCAGCUGACUUUAAAAACAGAUCUACGUAUCUCAAUCAAUUAAUUAUAACACAGGCCGCCCAAUAGGCGGCAAAGUUCGUUUUGAAGAAGUGCAAAUGGUGAAAAAAAAGCUUUAUAGCCGAAAAUUGCGGAACACUGCCACCUAAAUUGCCCUCACUUCUGCUCUGUUGCUCUCUUUGUGCAGGUUGUGUGUCAAACUUUUGGCGCCAUUUUUAGUUUGCGUUCGAGUGUUCGCGAUACGAGUGCAUAAGCAAAUCGCGCGCGAAACCAAAAAAAAAAAUAAAAUAAAAAACAAAUAAACAACAGAGAUACACAAAUAACUUGCGGAAGCAGAGGCAGCUACAGAUGUAUUAAAAAAACAUAAAAUCAAACCAUUAAUCGAAUAACCAACUUGCUAUGGUCCGACGAACAUUUCAACUGUUAAUCAAUUAAAUUGAUGAUAACAUCAAGCAACCAUUCCACAGUAAACUAAACAACAACUUGCACCUCCGCAAGCAUUUUCAGUACCAAACCAAUAUAAAGCCUGUACAACUAAUUUGACGCACACUGUAAAUGGACGCCCCAUGGGCCAAACACUAAACGCCAGUGUAAAAAUUAUUACCCACAGACGUCUAAUGAAAAAUACUCGUAUUUCUUAUAUCUACGUACUUUGCUUUGGCUGCCGCUGUUGUUGCUGUGUGUUUACACUUCACUCUUGGCCCGGCUCGGUCUAGAAAUUUGCUUCGCACUGGCGCUGGCACUGGCACUGAACAACACUCUGAACGCUGAACGCUGAACAAAAUGUACUGCGAGUGUCUAUAGAAAACUGAACUGAACUGAAAUUCAACUGAAGCAGCUGUACCAGCGCAAAGGCAAAGCAAAGGCAAAGCAACGCGAGGCGCGGCGAGACGAAGCGAAGCAAGGCAGGCAGCGGGCAGCGGGCAGCAGCAGCAGAACAGAAGCAGAGGCGAAACACAUACACACGCAGAGGCGAACCGAACGAACGAGUGAACAGCGAGACCAUCAAAUAAUACACAGAGCCAGAGACCCAGUGAGCGCAGUACAGGCAGGCGGCAGCAAAAGUAUCUGUAUCUGAGAGUCAAACAGCCAGCCAGGCAGCCAACCAACAUAGAGCGCUGACGACGACGACGACGACAACGGCAGCAACAGCAGCGACGACGUCGACGGCAGCGGGCGGGCAACGAGCAGAGAGAACGCAGGCAGACGGGCCAGUGUAUGUAGUGGCCGACAGUGGUGGCAAAUUACGUGCGCACAACUGCCGCCUGCUGAGUGCGUGUGUGUGAGAAAAAUAAUUUGCGUUUUUGCGGUGGCAUCAACAGUAGCGUACCAACAAAAUGAACUGACAGCUCUAUGGAAUUUGUACGGCGCAUGCACAGUGCUGGCGCUGAAUAUUGGAAGACUAAUGGAAAUAAGCGAAUAAUCGCAGGGUGUAUAUAAAUUAAAUUUAUUUAUUUUUUUAUCAGAAAAAUAUUAAA